rnacentral:rRNA from 1 species
UACAGAGGGUGCAAGCGUUAAUCGGAUUACUGGGCGUAAAGCGUGCGUAGACGGUUACAUAAGUCGGGUGUGAAAGCCCCGGGCUCAACCUGGGAAUUGCAUUCGAGACUGCGUAGCUAGGGUGCGGAAGAGGGAAGCGGAAUUUCCGGUGUAGCGGUGAAAUGCGUAGAUAUCGGAAGGAACACCAGUGGCGAAAGCGGCUUCCUGGUCCAGCACCGACGUCAGGCACGAAAGCGUGGGGAGCAAACAGG